CAUCCAUGAGAAUCAUGCCACAAUUGCAUAUUUGAAUUCAAAUUUGAAGCUCAAAAAGGCUUUAAAAGGAUUUUAUUUCAAUUUAAACCCUAGGAUUUACAACCAUUUGAGCUUUCGACCUUCAAACCAAUAGGUUUUAUUUAUAAAAGGGGUUUACUGCAUAAAUAAGGUCGCCCAUAAUUUUUGGAUAAUUAUUUGGAGUUGAAAAAGUAUUUUAUUUAAAUAGUUAUAUAGCCCUAACGGCAUUUAUAGGGCAAAUGUAUUUUUAUAUAUUUUAUUUUGAGGGGAAAUUACUCCCAAAAGUUGUAUCAUGGUAAAACAUGAUUUUACAAAUUUUCUGGAAUUUAUUUGGGCCAAUUUGGUGUACAAAAUCAAAAGAUAUCAAAGAUAUGAGAAAAAGGAAAAAAGAAAAGGCUAAAAGAAAAAAAAAGGGGAAAACCAAACCGGCCCGGCCUUUUUGGGCCGAACCGGCCCAGCAUCGCCAGAGCCAGCCCGAACCGGCCGGCCCAGCGCGCGCACGACCGCCAGG
rnacentral:lncRNA from 1 species